rnacentral:rRNA from 1 species
GACGAACGCUGGCGGCGUGCCUAACACAUGCAAGUCGAACGGAGCACUUCGGUGCUUAGUGGCGAACGGGUGAGUAACGCGUGAGAAACCUGCCUUGCAGUGGGGGACAACAGUUGGAAACGACUGCUAAUACCGCAUAAUGUUUCGAGAGGGCAUCCUCUUGAAACCAAAGCUUUAUGUGCUGAAAGAUGGUCUCGCGUCUGAUUAGCUAGAUGGCGGGGUAACGGCCCACCAUGGCGACGAUCAGUAGCCGGUCUGAGAGGAUGAACGUCCACAUUGGGACUGAGAUACGGCCCAGAAUCCUACGGGAGGCAGCAGUGGGGAAUAUUGGGCAAUGGGGGAAACCCUGACCCAGCAACGCCGCGUGGAGGAAGAAGGCCUUCGGGUUGUAAACUUCUUUUAGCAGGGACGAAGAACGUGACGGUACCUGCAGAAAAAGCAACGGCUAACUACGUGCCAGCAGCCGCGGUAAAAC